GACCCCAGCCUCGGGCUUCUGCCUGCGGGAAGGUUGCUCCCAUGUAACGCAGCCCUCGGUAUCCUUGUGUGCAGAGUGGGGCAGUGAGGUGUCCGCCCCAGAGGGCGCCUGGUGACCCUCGCACCCCCACGCCCUCUUCCGCGUUGCACCCCAGAAUUCUGGUGCCAUCAAGUCGGUUCCAACUCAUAGUGACCCUGUGUUCAACAGAAGAAAACACUGCCUAGUCAUGUGCCAUCCUCAAAAUAGAUGUUAUGCUGGAGCCCAUUGUUGCAGCCACUGCGUCAAUCCAUCUUGUUGAGGGUCUUCCUCUUUUUUGCUGGCCAUCUACUUUUCCAAGCAUGAUGUCCUUCUCCAGGGACUGAUUCCUCCUGAUAACAUGUCCAGAUUAUGUGACACAUAGUCUCGCCAACCUUACUUCCAAGGAGCAUUCUCGUUGUACUUCUUCCAAGACAGGUUUGUUCAUUCUUUUGGCAGUCCGUGGUAUGUUCCAUAUUCUUCACCAGCACCACAAUUCACAGGUGUCAGUGCUUCAGUCCUAUUUAGUCAUCAUCCAGCUUUCACAUUAGUAUGAGGUGAUUGAAAACACCAUGGCUUGGGUCAGGCACACCUUAUACAAUUGCUUUUUUAAAUUAGCUAAGAGAAGAAAAAGGCAUUCGACUGUGUAAAUUAUAACAAAUUGUGGAUAACACUGCGAAGAAUGAGAAUUCCAGAACACUUAAUUGUGCUUGUGUGGAACCUGUAUUUAGACCAAGAGGCCGUCAUUCGAACAGAUCAAGGGGAUACUGCGUGGUUUAAAAUCAGGAAAGGUGUGUGUCAGGGUUGUAUCCUUUCACCAUACUUAUUCAGUCUGUAUGCUUAGCAAAUAAUCUGAGAAGCUGGACUAUAUGAAGAACGCAGCAUCAGGAUUGGAGGAGGACUCAUUAACAACCUGCAGUAGGCAGUGACACAGCCUUGCUUGCUGAAAGUGAAGAGGACCUGAAGCACUUACUGAUAAAGAUCAAAGACAACAGCCUUCAGUACAGAUUGCACCUCAACAUAAAACAAAAAUCUUCACAACUGGACCAAUAAGCAACAUCACGAUAAACAGAAAAGACUGAAGUUGUCAAGGAUUUCAUUUACUUGGGUCCACAAUCAACGCCCAUGGAAGCAGCAGUCAAGAAAUAGAGGAUGUAUUGCAUUGGGCAGAUCUGCUGCAAAACACCUCUUUAAAGUGUUAAAAAGCAAAGAGGUCACUUUGAAGACUCAGGUGUGCCUGACCCAAAUCAUGGUAUUUUCAGUUGCCUCAUAUG